AUCCGAGUGGUGGAAUUGGUAGACACAAGAGAUUUAAACCCUCUUGGUGAAUAACCGUGUACGUUCAAAUCGUACCUCGGAUA
rnacentral:tRNA from 1 species